rnacentral:tRNA from 2 species
GCCCCCGUAGCUCAGCUGGAUAGAGCGACGGCCUUCUAAGCCGUGGGUCGCAGGUUCGAGUCCUGCCGGGGGCG